UACAGUGUGGACAAAUUACAACACAAUUAGCAUUGAAGAUUCUCUUGCAGUUUGAUAAAGCAAUUAAUAAUGCUUUGGCUAACAGAGUGAAAACAAGACUUACUUUUAAGGAUCUAGUGUAAAAGAUGAAAGAGAGUGAAGUUUCAUUAUCAGCUAAAAUUUGUUGAGACAUUUGUAAAAUUGUUUUAUUUACUAAAAUAAUCUCUAUGUUCAUUACAUUUAGUAAAA